rnacentral:rRNA from 1 species
GGUCCCUAUCUGCCGUGGGCGCUGGAGAACUGAGGGGGGCUGCUCCUAGUACGAGAGGACCGGAGUGGACGCAUCACUGGUGUUCGGGUUGUCAUGCCAAUGGCACUGCCCGGUAGCUAAAUGCGGAAGAGAUAAGUGCUGAAAGCAUCUAAGCACGAAACUUGCCCCGAGAUGAGUUCUCCCUGAGACUUAAAGUCUCCUGAAGGAACGUUGAAGACGACGACGUUGAUAGGCCGGGUGUGUAAGCGCAGCGAUGCGUUGAGCUAACCGGUACUAAUGAACCGUGAGGCUUAACCUUAC